AUGGAUUUAAUAUAUCUUUGAAUAUCCAAUUCCUUUCAUUCAAACUGCAGUGUUUUCACUUUUGUUUGGUGGAACUAAUGGGGUAAAUCGACAAGCUCUUGCCAGACCACUGAUUUCUAAUUGAUUUCAGUUAAUGCAGAUUUCAAUAGCUCAUCCGAUAGCAAAGCAUUGGCUGCAGUUUCUGCAUUUUUGCAUUUAACUGCACAUAUGUGGGCUCCAGACGUUGUCAGUUUCAGAUGAGUAACAGCAAAGAACAGGGACAGUUUUAUCAUUGUUACUACCCGCAAAGUCCACGUCUUCUACUGCAGACAGAAUAAAUAAAUGGAUUUUCACCAGCCCUUCCAGGCACAGCCAAAAUCAAUUAAAUUUCUGUGAUUCAGAUUUGGUGCUGUGCAACUGAAUUUUAAUCAGUUUCUAUCACUGUGCUCCCUAUAAGAAAUCCUCUGUCAGUUGAAGCAAGUACAUUCCUUUUUUCACAUUUGUCACCAAUUUAAAAGUAAAUAAGUAGCAAAGUAGAUGACAUUAACCCUACUCCUAAUAUAGGUGAUGGUAAUAUGAAGCAGAAAUGCAAGAUAACACAGAACAAAGUCAGCUUAUGCUUGUAGAGAGAGCAAACAUGUAGCACUUCAGGUAUUUGCCAAGGUCCCCAUUUAGAGAUUGAGGUGGAUUAGGAAGGCUGAAGACCAGAGAAAAGGUCAGACAACCUGGGAAAGAGAUAAGUAAAAAGAAUAGAAAGGAGGUAAAAGGAAAGUGAAAGAAGAGGGCACCUAUUAUCUUAAGAACCUAAGACAGAGACUGAGUAGUUCCAAUGUUAUCUGUAGGUUUCCCCAUUAAUAUGUGGCCACAUUUGGACCUGUAUUCCAUUUUUCAGGCACCUUCCACAGAUCACAUGACUUUCUUAGUGUCCAAAAAUCUACCAGUCUCUGUCUUAGAUGUACCUAUCAGCUAAUUAUCCUCAAAGUUAGCAAAUUCAAAUAAUUCACAGGCCUCCAAGUAAAGAAAUUCCUCCUAGUUUCAAUCCCAAAUAGCUGAAUCCUUGUCCUGAGAUUGUGACCCCUUAAUUCAAACUCUCUGGUCGAAAUAAAUAGACUCUAUAUUUUUAUCAUAAGAAAAUUUUCAUAUCGGCUCGAACCAUUUUCUGAUUUCAAAUCUGUCCUCUUCUAGGACCUCAGUUUUGACCCUUCAUGAAUUUGAUUUCAUCAUGCUGUCGACCUCCUCCACUGUCACCUUUGAUUUCCAUGCCCUGAUUUACUUUGGUCAGGAGACUUUCCUCAUACAAAUCAAACUCUUUCUCCUGUCAUCAGCCUCCUCAAUACUUGCCUUCACUUUGACCUUGAGAAAAGGUUCACACUCCUGAGGUACUGGGCAGUAUUUAAAGCUUGCAGUUGAAGUCUCGCCUGCUGACUGGGGAGUUGACAAGGGAUCCACAUUUCUAUUUAGGAAACAUUGAGCAUUCCCUGUGAUCAAGGAUCCCAGGGACAGAAGUCUAAUCCACACCUGCCCCUCAGAAGUCACUGGCUAGCCAGAGAUCAAUAGCUCUAUUUUAAGUGCAGUGCUAUGGUGGAGGCAAUGGCUGCUGUUGACUAGCACCCACUUUGGCCUAGAACCAUUGCUCGAUUGCUGGUGAGUUGUUGGGGGAGCCAUCGCAUUAGUGCCUGAAAGUAUUGUACAGUAAUACAUCCCCACCUCCCUUCCCACUGCCAGGUCUCUUUAUCAGGCAGUGAGUGCAUUUGAAAAAGAGACUCUGACCUGUGAGCCCACAAGUAACCUGUAAGAAUUUCUCUGUCAUGCUUCCCAGCAUGGACUGCCCCAACUGCUGCUAAGCUGGUACAGAUGGCAGUAGGAUCAGCCACUCAAAUGGACAUAAAUUGCCCAUUUAAUGCCGCAGUUGGAUACACGGAAGCUAUUCAGAGAUCUUCCUACCAUAGAUUUAAUUGCAGGAGAGACAGGAAGGCAACAGGAUUCACAUAUGCCUCCUUCUGGCCCAAUUAAAUGAUGUCCCUCCAUAAGGCACAGUGUUCAUUUCUGCUUGUUAUCUUGCAUAGAAUUUAGAUUCCUAAUGUGUUGGUGAAUAAACUUACCAAGCAAAGGCUUUCAUUUCAAAACCUUAAGAAGCUGUACUUCAGUUAGUUGUGACCAGCCCAAAUAUGAUGAACAAAAUGGCUUCUCUUUAUGCUGUCCUUUCUGUUGAUAGCGGUGAUGUAAAGGUUAGGGAAAAUAAAUAAUGAACAAUAAUUAAACAAUAUUAUAAUCUAGAUAUGUUGAAUAAAGGAGGUUAUGAAAUGGAGGUGUGGAUUUGAAAGCUCAUGAUUAAUUCUAACUUUGAGUAAGAGGUCUGGCUAAAUUUGAUUCUGCUGUUGAUACCAUCAUCCAUAAAAGGGACCACAUUCAUUGCUUUAAGAUUGGUGAAGAGCUUAGUACUUCACAAAUAAUUAGACAGUAACCAAGUUUCUACUCAGUUAUUGUUCUUGAAUAUGUAAUUGUAUCGGUAAGUCUAAUUGAAUGUUCUUCAGUUGAUGGUGCUCUUGAUAAAUUAAACCAUCCAUCAGAAAAACAUUAUUGUAUUUUGUUUAUACUACUUACAAGGUACACUGCAGAAAUUCGCUAAAGGCUCAUGAGACAGCACCUUCAAACCCACGAUCACUACCAUCUGGAAAGACAAAAGCGUGCGAACCUGCAAGUUUCUCUCCAAGCCACUCACCGUCUCACUGAUCCAAUUGCUUCCCUACUUCGAUGUGAUUCUUAUCUUUCAGAGUUGUGAAUGCAUGGAAUGCGUUGCCAGC